CCUACGGGAGGCAGCAGUGGGGAAUCUUCCGCAAUGGGCGAAAGCCUGACGGAGCAACGCCGCGUGAUCGAAUGAAGGCCUUCGGGUUGUAAAGAUCUGUUGACAGGGACGAAUAAGCCAUGCGAAUAGUUUGGUGUAUGACGGUACCUGUUUAGAAAGCUCCGGCUAACUACGUGCCAGCAGCCGCGGUAAUACGUAGGGAGCAAGCGUUGUCCGGAAUUACUGGGCGUAAAGGGCGCGUAGGUGGGUGCUUAAGUCAGCGGUCAAAUUGCGGGGCUCAACCCCGUACUGCCGUUGAAACUGCAUCCCUUGAGUGCGCGAGAAGUAUGCGGAAUGCGUGGUGUAGCGGUGAAAUGCAUAGAUAUCACGCAGAACUCCGAUUGCGAAGGCAGCAUACCGGCGCGCAACUGACGCUCAUGCACGAAAGCGUGGGUAUCGAACAGGAUUAGAUACCCGAGUAGUC
rnacentral:rRNA from 1 species